rnacentral:tRNA from 1 species
GGGGGCGUAGCUCAGUUGGGAGAGCGCAUGAAUGGCAUUCAUGAGGUCAAGAGUUCGAUCCUCUCCGUCUCCACCA